CUCACCAUGGAGUUUGGACUGAGCUGGGUUUUCCUUGUUGCUAUUUUAAAAGGUGUCCAGUGUGAAGUGCAGCUGGUGGAGUCUGGGGGAGGCGUGGUACAGCCUGGGAGGUCCCUGAGACUCUCCUGUGCAGCGUCUGGAUUCACCUUUGAUGAUUAUGCCAUGCACUGGGUCUGUCAAGCUCCAGGGAAGGGUCUGGAGUGGGUCUCUCGUAUUAGUUGGGGUGGUGGUAGCACAUACUAUGCAGAUUCUGUGAAGGGCCGAUUCACCAUCUCCAGAGACAACAGCAAAAUCUCCCUGUAUCUGCAAAUGAACAGUCUGAGAGCUGAGGACACCGCCUUGUAUUACUGUGCAAAAGAUACACAGUGAGGGGAAGUCAGUGAGAGCCCAGACAAAAACCUCCCUGCAGGAAGACAGGAGGGGCCUGCUGCAGAGGCCGCUCAAGACACACUGAGCAUAGGGUUAACUCUGGGACAGGUUGUUCAGGAAGGUUAAGAGCUGGUUUCCUUUCAGAGUCUUCGCAAUUUCUCCAUCUAACAGUUUCCCCAGGAACCCUGUCUAGAUCUGUGAUCGGGAUCUGCUGAAACUGCCUGUGUCACCUUCCUCACCUGUGACUUUGGGGGAGCUGAUUGUGGACACUCCAGUGUGUGGGAUUUCUUGGUGACAGCAAUUGUGUCUUCUGUCUAGGCAUGUCUAGGGCUGGCCAUCAGGAAGGGCAGGCUGGAAUUUUUGGAAAGAGGCGCACCUGCCAUCCACCAGGAAAUUUUUGUUGUCUUUUGUUCUGCUAGAAUUAAAUCAGACACACCAAGGUUAACUAGCACUAUCUUCCUAGCUCGAGAAACUUGAUAGCAGGCUUGAAUAACACUUGUAUGAAACCAUCAGAGCAACACCUAGAAUAGUGUCUGAUUUAAUAGUUGAGACUAUGGUCUAGCCAAGGAGACACAUAAAACAUGAUUUCCAUGGUUGGUUCAUAUUUUAUAUUUAUCAAUAGAAUCUGGCUGGUAUUAUAAACAGCUUUGCCAAAAUAUGUGUGUUAGUGUUGGUCUUCGGAGAAGCAAACUGUGACUGGAUUAGCUUCGUGUACAGUUUCCUUCGUGUACAGUUUCCCUGUCCACUCUUCUGAGAGGAAAUGCAGAGGUGGUGGAAGGGGUCUGGGGUAGCUGAAUGCAUGUGAGGGAAGUCGGUCCCUGAGUGAAGGAGAAAGGGAGGAGGACUGGGUGGAACUUUCCUAAACUUCUGUGUUGUUCUAUGAAGGUCCAGCAAGGUCACUGAAUCAGAGUCGUGUCACGGUUUCCCAUCGGGGACCCAGUGACUCCCAGCAGUGGCUCUGCUCAGAUCAGCGCAGAACUUGUUUGUCUCCUGAGAGUGGAGCACAGGACGUGGCUCCAGCACCAGCCAUGGCAUGGAACAUAGAGAGCAGCCCUGGGUGCCUGGGUCAGGUGCAUUGUGCUCCCUGCAGGUGGACGGAGGGAGGUGCUGACUCAGGGCCCAGAGACUGUGGGUUCUAUACAGAACAUACACUUUUACUUCAUUUCUGUGGAUGACAUAGAAACAAACAUGCAGUCUGUAAACAAUGGUGAUUCCUACAUUUGCCCCAAUUGCUUUAUUCCUUGAUUCUGCAGAAUGUCCUGGCACAGAAUUGCCUUUCUCAUGUGGAAUUGUGAUGUGUGUUGAGGAUGUGUGAUCCCUACUUUCAUUGUUUUCCUCCAUGUACAGAGCUCCUAAAUAGAGUACAGCUGACCCUCCUUCUACACUGUUCCUCUCCUCCCCACAGGAAGAGCAGAUAAUUACCUGAGGCUGAAUCUGAGGUGGGAUCUGUCCUCUGAACCUCAGAGCCUGCAGAGACCCCCAGCUGCAGAUUCAUGGAGUCAGGUGUUUGUACAUGUGGGAACCUUGAGCUGUUCUUUUGUCAGUGAACACUCCUUAGAACUAAUUGUGGGUUCAGAAUUAGGACACCCAUUGAUCUAUCACACCUCAGCUCAUUCUGCCACUCAGAAUCUCCAGAAAUUCAGGAAAUGGUUGAAUGUACAUUUUUGUGACAAAUUUUUCUCAUUUCACUUAGUUGUGAGUUUGGUUAGCAGAAAGUGCUACCAUUUAUGGAUCCCAAACUGAUGAAGCUCAUUUGCUUCAACAGAAGUUAGGAGGCUCCUAAAACUUCUCAUCAGCCCCUCUCUCUGCACUUCAUGUGAAAUUCAGUUUUACCUGGAAUUCUGGUGUGUUGGUUUAGCCAGAUUUCCCCAUCCUCCAUGUCUGAUUUUCCUGGGUAUCUGAUCAGUUUCCUUGCCCUUCACCAUACCUCGGUGACGUCUAAUCACCCUGGCCCAACAUCAAGAAUUCUGACAGGUUGGUUUAAGCAGGAUUGGCUGCGCCCCUGAUGUUUCCUCUCAGUAAUUUUCCAUCUUCCGGACCCCACCCUGCUGCUUGGCUUUAAAUCCCCAUGUUUCCAUUCUGCAUUUGGAGUUCAGCUGAAUCUCUCUCCUCACUGCAAAACACCAUUGCCCUGAUCCCAACACCUACUAUGAGGACCCUGGAUAAAGUCUUCCUUACUGUGCUGGAACAAGUGUCUUUACUUGAUAUUUUUUCUUUAAUAAAUCUACCUUUAGUGCUUCCCUAAUUGCUCAAGGAACCUCAAAAAAUAAAAUAAGUGCGAUUAUC